rnacentral:rRNA from 1 species
UACGUAGGUGGCGAGCGUUGUCCGGAUUUACUGGGCGUAAAGAGCGCGCAGGCGGCUGGGCAAGUCCGAUGUGAAAGCUUCCGGCUUAACUGGAAAAUUGCAUCGGAAACUGCUCGGCUUGAAGGUGGGAGAGGGUAGCGGAAUUCCCGGUGUAGUGGUGAAAUGCGUAGAUAUCAGGAGGAACACCGGUGGCGAAGGCGGCUUGCUGGGCCAGUUCUGACGCUGAGGAGCGAAAGCGUGGGGAGCGAACAGG